CAGGAGUCCCCAUCCGAUUUGUCUCGCGCACGCGCUCUCUGCUUAAUUAAAAUUCAUUUCACGACGCUGCCCGAUUUGUUCUGCGCAUGUCUAAUGUUUUACGAUACACGUCAUUCGUCAGGUUUGACUUGUACUUGCGAGUCAUUUUUGUGUUGUCAUUUAUCUCUGUCUGUAAGUGGACUUGUUACUGGAAAAGAUGGAAACUUUUGAAUUUUAUAACGUCAUGGAAGAUGUGUCGCCUGAAAAAUUUAACUCCAGUCGAAUGAAGAGGGAGCGAAAUGAAAGGCGACGUGUGUCUGUGAACUUUAUAAUGGACAUGUACAGCUUUUUUUACAGUGAAGUAGAAGAGUCCGGUCGUGUUAUGGGGCAGCAGUUAAAGAAGAAGGACAGAGAGAUGUGUGCCAUGUUGAAGUAGCGGCUGAUCCUCCUUCGAAGCUCUGCUAGAAUCCUCCAUCUAAACCUCUGCUCUGAUCUGCUGUGCCUUUGCCAAGUGAUCACGAGUUUAUUGCAAUGGUGCCCCCAACGCGUCUCCACCGUCUGUUACAUCAACUCCAACUGCCUGUGAUGCUGGAGAGAAGAAAAUUUCACAAGAUGUCCUAAAAUGGAAUUGUGAUUGGACUGAGACGGCCACAAUUAUGUGUGCUGGGAUGUGCAGAGAGGACUGUGUGGGCAUUGGCUUGGGACCCCCAGAGGUUUAUUAUCUCCAGUAUCCUUAAAGACUGCAAGUUUGUCUUUGUCCCCAGCCAUUUGACCAGGCAGGUAUUUAUUACAAAGGACAAGGACCCCUCCAUUUGCUUCUUAUUUAUUUUUAUAAUGCCUUCAAUUUUCUUUGUAACUAUGUUUUUGAAGAGCAAGUUGAGCUACACUUGUAAGAAAAGGUGAUAUAGUAAUAUUAUUAGUGAACAAAUGUUAACGGACAGGUCAGGAAAAAUGUCAGUUUAAAUAGAACACAUUUUUAAUGGAAUAUUGCUGGAUAACAGCUCUUUGACUCUGAGUAGCAUCUUGUUCAUAAAGCUAAAAUAGCAUUUUUCCUUUUUUGACAAAUUUAAUGAUUCACUUUUACUGCGUUCAAAGCUUUGCCUAUCAUUUUUUUUUUUAAGAUCUGUAAAUAUAUUUGUGUUGUCCUUCCCUAAUAGUUUUUAAAACCUCCCCAUUGUUGGCCAUUUGCAUUGUAUUUGUGUUCUAGUUAAAUGCAUUUACCUUUUAUACAUCUUUAUUAUUAAUGAAUUUUCUACUGUGUCGCAGAUAAGCCCUUUGUCCACCUCUCAGACCCUCAGGUACCACUUCAGACACGUUGUAAAAGCACAAGACUCUUUUAUUUCCUUUAAGUACAGUGCACAAAGCACCCUCCACUCCACACUAUUCAUAAAUAUACAAUCACUAUAAUAAUCACAAAUCCUCCUCGCCCAGACACUUUGCCACCCUACCUCCCAGCUCACUUUUAUACACCCUGACCCGGAGGUGUUCCUGCCCCAUCAGUCCACAGUUCCUUAUUCCUUCCGGGUCAGGGUAAACCGUCCUUUUCUUCAACCCGGGAGCAUGUCGUAUCUUCCUGUCACAUGACCAUGACGUACUCCCGGGCUAUAGGGCACAUAAGAGCCUCCGAGUCCUCCUACAGCGACUCCUGGUGGCCCCCAAGGUAUCCAGCAGGACUGCGUAUAAAAACUACAUAGUCCAUGAGUCCCUGCUGGAACUUGGGGCACGUCCACGCUGUCCGGAGAGCUCCUCCUGGCGGCCUGGGGGUGAUAGCCGGACUAAGAAGCCGGCAAUCCACCACAACUGAUACACACAC